CAGCAGCCGCGGGAAUACAGAGGGUGCGAGCGUUAAUCGGAUUUACUGGGCGUAAAGCGUGCGUAGGCGGCUUCUUAAGUCGGAUGUGAAAUCCCUGAGCUUAACUUAGGAAUUGCAUUCGAUACUGGGAAGCUAGAGUAUGGGAGAGGAUGGUAGAAUUCCAGGUGUAGCGGUGAAAUGCGUAGAGAUCUGGAGGAAUACCGAUGGCGAAGGCAGCCAUCUGGCCUAAUACUGACGCUGAGGUACGAAAGCAUGGGGAGCAAACAGGAUUAGAUACCACGGUAGUCCCUGUCUCUUAUAA
rnacentral:rRNA from 1 species